rnacentral:rRNA from 1 species
AUGGCGCGCGGCGGCGGCAACGGCGAGGUGGAGCUCUCGGUGGGGGUCGGCGGCGGAGGCGGCGGCGCCGCCGGCGGGGCGGACGCCCCCGCCGUGGACAUCAGCCUCGGCAGGCUCAUCCUCGCCGGCAUGGUCGCCGGCGGCGUGCAGUACGGAUGGGCGCUCCAGCUCUCCCUGCUCACCCCCUACGUCCAGACUCUGGGACUUUCGCAUGCUCUGACUUCAUUCAUGUGGCUCUGCGGCCCUAUUGCUGGAUUAGUGGUUCAACCAUGCGUUGGGCUCUACAGUGACAAGUGCACUUCUAGAUGGGGAAGACGCAGACCGUUUAUUCUGACAGGAUGUAUCCUCAUCUGCAUUGCUGUCGUAGUCGUCGGCUUCUCGGCUGACAUUGGAGCUGCUCUGGGUGACAGCAAGGAAGAGUGCAGUCUCUAUCAUGGGCCUCGUUGGCACGCUGCAAUUGUGUAUGUUCUUGGAUUCUGGCUCCUUGACUUCUCCAACAACACUGUGCAAGGUCCAGCGCGUGCUCUGAUGGCUGAUUUAUCAGCUCAACAUGGACCCAGUGCAGCAAAUUCAAUCUUCUGUUCUUGGAUGGCACUAGGAAAUAUCCUUGGAUACUCCUCUGGUUCCACAAAUAACUGGCACAAGUGGUUUCCGUUCCUCCGGACAAGGGCUUGCUGUGAAGCCUGCGCAAAUCUGAAAGGCGCAUUUCUGGUGGCAGUGCUGUUCCUGGCCUUCUGUUUGGUGAUAACUGUGAUCUUCGCCAAGGAGAUACCGUACAAGGCGAUCGCGCCCCUCCCAACAAAGGCCAAUGGCCAGGUUGAAGUCGAGCCCACUGGGCCGCUCGCCGUGUUCAAAGGCUUCAAGAACUUGCCUCCUGGAAUGCCAUCAGUGCUCCUCGUCACUGGCCUCACCUGGCUGUCCUGGUUCCCCUUCAUCCUCUACGACACCGACUGGAUGGGUCGUGAGAUCUACCACGGUGACCCCAAGGGAACCCCCGACGAGGCCAACGCGUUCCAGGCAGGUGUCAGGGCCGGGGCGUUCGGCCUGCUACUCAACUCGGUCGUCCUGGGGUUCAGCUCCUUCCUGAUCGAGCCGCUGUGCAAGAGGCUAGGCCCGCGGGUGGUGUGGGUGUCGAGCAACUUCCUCGUCUGCCUCUCCAUGGCGGCCAUUUGCAUCAUAAGCUGGUGGGCUACUCAGGACAUGCAUGGGUACAUCCAGCACGCCAUCACCGCCAGCAAGGAGAUCAAGAUCGUCUCCCUCGCCCUCUUCGCCUUCCUCGGAGUCCCUCUCGCCAUUCUGUACAGUGUCCCUUUCGCGGUGACGGCGCAGCUGGCGGCGAACAGAGGCGGUGGCCAAGGGCUGUGCACGGGCGUGCUGAACAUCGCCAUCGUGAUACCCCAGGUGAUCAUCGCGGUGGGGGCGGGGCCGUGGGACGAGCUGUUCGGCAAGGGCAACAUCCCGGCGUUCGGCAUGGCGUCCGCCUUCGCGCUCAUCGGCGGCAUCGUCGGCAUAUUCCUGCUGCCCAAGAUCUCCAGGCGCCAGUUCCGGGCCGUCAGCGGCGGCGGUCACUGA